rnacentral:lncRNA from 1 species
UAAUUGUUUACUAAAUCAAGUCAAGCUUCCCCCUUACCCAUAUGUCUAACAUUUGAAAGGCUAUAUGAUUGACCCUUCCACUCUGCUGAAGUUAGAGAAGUCUUCUGAGAAGGAGCAUGAGAAAUAUGAAAUAAGACAUACCUUUGCAAUAAGAACCCUAAUUGUUAGUGGAAAGGAAUUUAAUAGAAGAACUUGAAUUUUACUGACGGAAACCUGGUUUUAAUUUAACUUUGUACCCUGGAUAACCAUGGCUUUAUUUUGUGUGGUCUGUUGUAUGCUCCUUAAGAAGCUCCUAUUAGCUCUCUUUUGU